rnacentral:lncRNA from 1 species
AGUAGAGUCGGGGUGGCCCCGCGAUUCUUCCAGGAGUAACUCGUCGAGUCAAAGAGGAUACUCGACGAGUAGAAGGGGACUCUUAGAGGAUUGAAGGACGACCAGACUCGCCGAGUCGCCAGGGAACUCGCCGAGUCCAGUCGAGCUGACAAUGGGCUGUUGACCAGAGUUGACCGGUGUGAUUUCUUAGGGUCAGUUAACGUGGAAGAUAGAAGUAUUACUAAGGGAUAUAUGGUGUUACAGGGAGCUUGUAGCUCGGAGGAUCAAGUGCAAGGGAUUUCAGGAGUUGCUAUCUUCCAGUGUCCGCGAGGUGAGUCUUCUCACUAUACUUUACCCGGAAGGGUUUGAUUGUGAGACCGGAAGGUCGUAUGUGUUAUAUUUAUGCUAUGGCUAGAGAGAUAGAUGCUUUAUAUGUGAUGUAUGCUUAUAUAUGAUGUAUACUUAUACGGGCCGGAAGGCGAGACUUCAUGUGAUAGGAAGAACGGUAUGAUGUAUGACUUAUGUGUUAUGUGCGUUAUGUUACAUGUGUUAUGUUUAUACUGUUAUGGGCCGGAAGGCAAAUAUUAUGUGGAUCGAAAGAUCCGGGCCGGAAGGCAAUAUUAUGUGGAUCGAAAGAUCCGGGCCGGAAGGCAAUAUUAUGUGGAUCGAAAGAUCCGGGCCGGAAGGCAAACAUUAUGUGGAUCGAAAGAUUCGGGCCGGAAGGCAAUAUUAUGUGGAUCGAAAGAUCCGGGCCGGAAGGCAAUAUUAUGUGGAUCGAAAGAUCCGGGCCGGAAGGCAAUAUUAUGUGGACCGGAAUAUCCGGGCCGGAAGGCAAACAUUAUGUGGAUCGAAAGAUUCGGGCCGGAAGGCAAUAUUAUGUGGACCGAAAGGUCCGGGCCGGAAGGCAAUAUUAUGUGGACCGGA